CAGUAGCCGCGGUAAUACAGAGGGUGCAAGCGUUAAUCGGAAUUACUGGGCGUAAAGCGAGCGUAGGUGGUUUGUUAAGUUGGAUGUGAAAUCCCCGGGCUCAACCUGGGAACUGCAUCCAAAACUGGCAAGCUAGAGUAUGGUAGAGGGUGGUGGAAUUUCCUGUGUAGCGGUGAAAUGCGUAGAUAUAGGAAGGAACACCAGUGGCGAAGGCGACCACCUGGACUGAUACUGACACUGAGGUGCGAAAGCGUGGGGAGCAAACAGGAUUAGAUACCCCAGUAGUCCCUGUCUCUUAUAA
rnacentral:rRNA from 1 species